GCAUGGAUGAAUUCUGCAUUAUCUUGCUGUAGUUUUUGCAGUCAGACACCAUGCUAAAUUAAUGUUCACUUGUGCUUUAACUGUCUUCAUGUUUUUGAAUGCCAGUUGAAAUAAGUUUGUGUACAGCU